AUGAGACUACUGGAGUUUCUCCUGUGCUUGGCAGCAGCUCUGCAAUGCAUUUUGUCUCAGAUUCAGCUUAAGGAGUCAGGACCUGCUGUCACCGAACCAUCACAGCCACUGUCCCUCACCUGCACAGUGUCUGGAUUCUCCAUCUCAAGUAGUGAUUAUUGCUGGGACUGGAUCCGUCAGCCCCCAGGAAAGGGGUUAGAGUGGAUGGGGUGCAUACGUUAUGAUGGUUACACUUUCUACAGUCCGUCCUUCAAAAGCCGCAGCACCCUCUCCAGAGACACAGCACUGAACAAAUUCUCUAUCCAGUUGAGCUCUGUGACUGCUGAGGACACAGCCGUGUAUUACUGUUCCAGGGAAAACCACAAUUUUCCAAGUGCCAAAAGAUGGGAUACACUGCUGGGAAAUGAAGUCAUUGCAGAGUCCAGGAACAAAACCCAUGCUUUUUCAGCUUCAUCUCCACCUCCAGAAACUCGGAUAAUGUCAAGUUCUCCCGAGUUUUACAUCUUUAAUGGUACAG